UGGGGAAGUUUUCCGCAAUGGGCGAAAGCCUGACGGAGCAAUGCCGCGUGGAGGUGGAAGGCCUACGGGUCGUCAACUUCUUUUCUCGGAGAAGAAACAAUGACGGUAUCUGAGGAAUAAGCAUCGGCUAACUCUGUGCCA
rnacentral:rRNA from 1 species